AAUGGUUUGGGUUGGAAGGAACCUUAAAGCCCAUGUCACUCCACCCCCUGCCAUGGGCAGGGACACUUUCCACUAUCCCAGGCUGCUCCAAGCC